rnacentral:rRNA from 1 species
UACGUAGGGUGCGAGCGUUAAUCGGAAUUACUGGGCGUAAAGCGUGCGCAGGCGGUUCGCUGUGUCCGAUGUGAAAGCCCCGGGCUUAACCUGGGAAUGGCAUUGGAAACUGGCGGGCUUGAGUGCGGCAGAGGGGGGUGGGAAUUCCGCGUGUAGCAGUGAAAUGCGUAGAUAUGCGGAGGAACACCGAUGGCGAAGGCGGGUCUCUGGGCCGAUACUGACGCUGAGGAGCGAAAGCGUGGGGAGCGAACAGG